AGAGUUUGAUCCUGGCUCAGGACGAACGCUGGCGGCGUGCUUAACACAUGCAAGUCGAACGGAUUGUUGCCGCUUGCGGUGGCAGUUAGUGGCGAACGGGUGAGUAACACGUGAGUAACCUGCCCUCUUCUUUGGGAUAAGCACCUGAAAGGGUGUCUAAUACUGGAUAUUCUGGCGUCCUCGCAUGGGGGUGUUUGGAAAGGGUUUCUGGUGGGGGAUGGGCUCGCGGCUUAUCAGCUUGUUGGUGGGGUAAUGGCUUACCAAGGCUUUGACGGGUAACCGGCCUGAGAGGGUGGUCGGUCACAUUGGGACUGAGAUACGGCCCAGACUCCUACGGGAGGCAGCA
rnacentral:rRNA from 1 species